CCAUGCAGUCGAACGGGCUCUUCGGAGCUAGUGGCGGACGGGUGAGUAACACGUAGAACCUACCUUCAGAAUGGGGACAACAGUUGGAAACGACUGCUAAUACCCAAUGUGCCGAGAGGUGAAAGAUUUAUCGUCUGAAGAUGGGCUCGCGUCUGAUUAGCUAGAUGGUGGGGUAAGAGCCUACCAUGGCGACGAUCAGUAGCUGGUCUGAGAGGAUGAGCAGCCACACUGGGACUGAGACACGGCCCAAACUCCUACGGGAGGCAGCAGUGGGGAAUUUUCCGCAAUGGGCGAAAGCCUGACGGAGCAAUACCGCGUGAGGGAGGAAGGUCCUCGGAUUGUAAACCUCUUUUAUUAGGGAAGAAGAACUGACGGUACCUAAUGAAUAAGCAUCGGCUAACUCCGUGCCAGCAGCCGCGGUAAUACGGAGGAUGCGAGCGUUAUCCGGAAUUAUUGGGCGUAAAGCGUCCGUAGGUGGUUAUGCAAGUCUGCCGUUAAAGAAUGGAGCUUAACUCCAUGGAGGCGGUGGAAACUGCAAGACUAGAGUACAGUAGGGGUAGCAGGAAUUCCCAGUGUAGCGGUGAAAUGCGUAGAUAUUGGGAAGAACAUCGGUGGCGAAAGCGUGCUACUGGGCUGAAACUGACACUGAGGGACGAAAGCUAGGGUAGCGAAAGGGAUUAGAUACCCCUGUAGUCCUAGCCGUAAACGAUGGAUACUAGGCGUGGCUUGUAUCGACCCGAGCCGUGCCGAAGCUAACGCGUUAAGUAUCCCGCCUGGGGAGUACGCACGCAAGUGUGAAACUCAAAGGAAUUGACGGGGGCCCGCACAAGCGGUGGAGUAUGU
rnacentral:rRNA from 1 species